rnacentral:rRNA from 1 species
UACGGGGGGAGCAAGCGUUGUUCGGAUUUACUGGGCGUAAAGGGCGCGUAGGCGGCGUGACUAGUCACUUGUGAAAUCUCCGGGCUUAACUCGGAAAGGUCAAGUGAUACUGUCGUGCUAGAGUACAGAAGGGGCAACUGGAAUUCUCGGUGUAGCGGUGAAAUGCGUAGAUAUCGAGAGGAACACCUGCGGCGAAGGCGGGUUGCUGGGCUGAUACUGACGCUGAGGCACGAAGGUCAGGGGAGCAAACGGG